GAUGAACGCUGGCGGCGUGCCUAAUACAUGCAAGUCGAGCGAACGGACGAGAAGCUUGCUUCUCUGAUGUUAGCGGCGGACGGGUGAGUAACACGUGGAUAACCUACCUAUAAGACUGGGAUAACUUCGGGAAACCGGAGCUAAUACCGGAUAAUAUUUUGAACCGCAUGGUUCAAAAGUGAAAGACGGCCUUGCUGUCACUUAUAGAUGGAUCCGCGCUGCAUUAGCUAGUUGGUAAGGUAACGGCUUACCAAGGCAACGAUGCAUAGCCGACCUGAGAGGGUGAUCGGCCACACUGGAACUGAGACACGGUCCAGACUCCUACGGGAGGCAGCAGUAGGGAAUCUUCCGCAAUGGGCGAAAGCCUGACGGAGCAACGCCGCGUGAGUGAUGAAGGUCUUCGGAUCGUAAAACUCUGUUAUCAGGGAAGAACAUAUGUGUAAGUAACUGUGCACAUCUUGACGGUACCUAAUCAGAAAGCCACGGCUAACUACGUGCCAGCAGCCGCGGUAAUACGUAGGUGGCAAGCGUUAUCCGGAAUUAUUGGGCGUAAAGCGCGCGUAGGCGGUUUUUUAAGUCUGAUGUGAAAGCCCACGGCUCAACCGUGGAGGGUCAUUGGAAACUGGAAAACUUGAGUGCAGAAGAGGAAAGUGGAAUUCCAUGUGUAGCGGUGAAAUGCGCAGAGAUAUGGAGGAACACCAGUGGCGAAGGCGACUUUCUGGUCUGUAACUGACGCUGAUGUGCGAAAGCGUGGGGAUCAAACAGGAUUAGAUACCCUGGUAGUCCACGCCGUAAACGAUGAGUGCUAAGUGUUAGGGGGUUUCCGCCCCUUAGUGCUGCAGCUAACGCAUUAAGCACUCCGCCUGGGGAGUACGACCGCAAGGUUGAAACUCAAAGGAAUUGACGGGGACCCGCACAAGCGGUGGAGCAUGUGGUUUAAUUCGAAGCAACGCGAAGAACCUUACCAAAUCUUGACAUCCUUUGACAACUCUAGAGAUAGAGCUUUCCCCUUCGGGGGACAAAGUGACAGGUGGUGCAUGGUUGUCGUCAGCUCGUGUCGUGAGAUGUUGGGUUAAGUCCCGCAACGAGCGCAACCCUUAAGCUUAGUUGCCAUCAUUAAGUUGGGCACUCUAAGUUGACUGCCGGUGACAAACCGGAGGAAGGUGGGGAUGACGUCAAAUCAUCAUGCCCCUUAUGAUUUGGGCUACACACGUGCUACAAUGGACAAUACAAAGGGCAGCGAAACCGCGAGGUCAAGCAAAUCCCAUAAAGUUGUUCUCAGUUCGGAUUGUAGUCUGCAACUCGACUACAUGAAGCUGGAAUCGCUAGUAAUCGUAGAUCAGCAUGCUACGGUGAAUACGUUCCCGGGUCU
rnacentral:rRNA from 1 species